GCUUUCCUGUGGCUCAGUCAGUAGGCCAUUUCGCUAACAAUGCAAAGGUUGUGGAUUCAACCCCCACGGAAAACA